GUCGCUACUACCGAUUGAAUGGCUCAGUGAGGCCUUCGGACUGGCUCAGGAGGGUUGGCAACGACCCCCCAGAGCCGGAAAGUUGGUCAAACUCGGUCAUUUAGAGGAAGUAAAAGUCGUAACAAGGUCUCC
rnacentral:rRNA from 1 species